rnacentral:SRP_RNA from 2 species
UCGUGCUAGAUGGGAAGUUAGCGGUGUCCUGUAACCUGUAAUCCGCUACAGCAGGGUUGAAUUCCUCGCUUAGGCCUUGAAAUGUGAGGUCUGGCCUAUAUAAGUGGCGUUGAUAACUGGGCCCCACGCAAGGAAAACUUGCGAACCCCGUCAGGUCUGGAAGGAAGCAGCGGUAAGUGAGACCUUUCCUGUGCCGUGGGUAAACCUGGUUUGAGUUAACUGUAUAGGUAACGCUCAUAUUUCACUGUCGACGCGAGGUGCACGA